GUGAUCUGUCGCCCACAGGAACCCAUGUGACUGUACUCGUGGGCCUACCUGCUUUUCUGUUGCUCCGGGAAAAUGGUAACCAAAAGCAAGUUGUGGUCGCACUGCCCAGAAUGGGUCCAGCCCCGCCACAUCGAUCGUUAAUCAAGCAAAUGCUCCAACGGUGUGCCCACAGGCCAAGCUGAUGGAGGCAAUUCCUCAGUGGAGGUUCCCUCUCCCAGGGGUGCAGCCUCUCUGGAAUAAACAACCUCCCACCCACGCUCAGGCAAGAGACUCUGACCAAACUCUGGACCCCACACAAGAAGCUGUGAGAUAAGGGGGGCCGUCUUGCUGAGAAGGCCCAGCGGGAGAGGAAGGGAAUGAUGAACUGGGGUGUGUGUGAAAAUUACUAAAAUUCAG